AUUCAAAUGGAGGAGCGUAAUACAUUGACGUGGAAAGCGCUUAUGAUCGGAGUGCAAAACGGUUGUGUCGCAGCAUUUUAUCUAUUGUGAUAGGAAGGGAACAGAGUUUCGCAAUAGGACGCUUGUAUUCGCCAGACGACGUUUUUACGCUGAUUACUUGGACGAGGUCGUCAUCUCCUGGGUGGCACUUGAUGAUACGGCCAAGUUCCCAUCGACAAGGCGGAAGAUUCGAGUUGCGAAGCAGGAUAAGUUGACCGACUCUGGCGAGAUUUGGCGUCAUCUUCCAUUUUGGUCGUUGAUGCAACGUAUGCAAAACGCUCGGCUCAGGUGGAGUUGCCAGUGGUGCUCCGAUUAAAAAAUAUCCGGGGGUUGACGAUUACCGGUUUAUCCUCGAUCCCAAUCCGGCUUGAAGGACCAAAUGUUUGAGGCUGUAUAUUGGUGAAUUGGAAAUUACUGACUGGAUUCCGUAGUUUCAAAGACGUGGGCUUCGAGGAGAAGAAUAACGACACAGCUGAGGUCAUCGAUUGUGUAUUAAAUAUAUCUGGUACCCAACGUGUCUCUAAUUAAACAAUUACGCGUAUCACUAUGUAUCGCGGUGCAAUACACUUGAAUUAAUUUGAUGUACCCGGAACUCGAGAUAAAGAAAUGUUGGUUGCUGUCUGUGAUACCGUAACGGUUCGAAUCGGUGAUUAGAUGGUGUAACGACGAUUACAUUUUGACUCAUCGGGUUACGACGAAAUCGUGAGUUGUCAACCGAGAUAGAAUCAUGUACGAAACGCGUACAAUAUUGUAUAAUUCUAUAUUGGAUAAUGGUGUAUACAAUAAUUGUACAUUCCAUAAUCGUACAUUUAAUAAUUGUGUAUUCAAUAGUUGUAAAUUGUAUAAUUGUAUAU